AUGUAGAUGUUUAAGCGAAGGAAUGGUGGUCGUAACAAACAUGGCUGUGGUCAUGUUAACUUCAUCCGUUGUUCAAACUGUGGAAAGUGUUGCCCUAAGGAUAAGGCAAUCAAGAGAUUUUUGGUGAGGAACAUCGUUGAACAAGCUGCUGUUAGAGAUGUUCAAGAAGCUUGUGUCUAUGAUGGAUACACUUUGCCUAAAUUGUACGCCAAGAUGCUUUACUGUGUGUCCUGUG